rnacentral:rRNA from 1 species
UACAGGGGGGGCAAGCGUUGUUCGGAAUUACUGGGCGUAAAGGGCUCGUAGGCGGCCAACUAAGUCACACGUGAAAUCCCCAGGCUUAACCUGGGAACUGCGUGUGAUAUUGGAUGGCUUGAAUUCGGGAGAGGGAUGCAGAAUUCCAGGUGUAGCGGUGAAAUGCGUAGAUAUCUGGAGGAAUACCGGUGGCGAAGGCGGCAUCCUGGACCGACAUUGACGCUGAGGAGCGAAAGCUAGGGGAGCAAACGGG